AUUGCCUCAGUAACGGCGAGUGAAGCGGCAACAGCUCAAAUUUGAAAUCUGGCUUCUUCGGAGCCCGAAUUGUAAUUUGUAGAGGAUGCUUCGGGUUUGGCCCCGGCCUAAGUUCCUUGGAACAGGACGUCACAGAGGGUGAGAAUCCCGUAUGUGGCUGGAGGUCUAUGCCCAUGUGAAGCUCCUUCGACGAGUCGAGUUGUUUGGGAAUGCAGCUCAAAAUGGGUGGUAAAUUUCAUCUAAAGCUAAAUACCGGCGGGAGACCGAUAGCGCACAAGUAGAGUGAUCGAAAGAUGAAAAGCACUUUGGAAAGAGAGUUAAAAAGUACGUGAAAUUGUUGAAAGGGAAGCGCUUGCGACCAGACUUGCCUGCAGUUGAUCAACUGGUGUUCUCACCGGUGCACUCUGCUGCAGUCAGGCCAGCAUCGGUUUGGGCGGCUGGAGAAAGGCCCUGGGAAUGUGGCUCUCUUCGGGGAGUGUUAUAACCCAGGGUGUCAUGCAGCCAGCCUGGACCGAGGACCGCGCUUCGGCUAGGAUGCUGGCGUAAUGGUCGUAAGCGACCCGUCUUGAAACACGGACCAAGGAGUCUAACAACUAUGCGAGUGUUUGGGUGUUAAACCCAUGCGCGUAAUGAAAGUGAACGGAGGUGGGAACCCUUAAGGGUGCACCAUCGACCGAUCCUGAUGUCUUCGGAUGGAUUUGAGUAAGAGCAUAGCUGUUGGGACCCGAAAGAUGGUGAACUAUGCCUGAAUAGGGUGAAGCCAGAGGAAACUCUGGUGGAGGCUCGCAGCGGUUCUGACGUGCAAAUCGAUCGUCAAAUUUGGGUAUAGGGGCGAAAGACUAAUCGAACCAUUGUCUACUAGGUGGUUAAGAGGCAGAUAAAAGGUCUGUCUAGUCCCUGUUCACGGGGCAACACUGUCAAAUUGCGGGGACACCCUUAGAGCUCAAACAACCGCAGCUUAGCUGAAAGGCAAGUGCGCACCAGGGUAAUGACCUCGGGUAUGGUAACAUAGUUUGAGAUUGGGCAAUCUGCAGCGAAGUCCUAAAGGCCAAUAGGCUCAUGGGCGAAGUUCACAGACUAAAUGGCAGUGGGUGGUGACUAAUGUCGCUGCUUAAGAUAUAGUCGGGCCCCCAGGAGACUGGGCAGUGAGAUGAAGCGCUUUGGGAGUGAGCACUGUAUUUGCAGUUCUCAUGGUGCCUGAGCUCACUGGAGAGUAGUAAUACU
rnacentral:rRNA from 1 species